AUGGCGUUCACGCGCCUGGAGCUGCGAUGCCCCAGGGCGCUCGACCCCCGCCCGAGCUGGACCCUCGGCGAGGUCCUCACCGAGCUCGACGCACUCGAAGCCACCCGCCGCGCCGCGCCCCCCACGCCCCUCAAGCAGCAGCCGGAGUGGGCUAGCGGUGGCAGCGCAAGGAAGAAGGCCUUUGUGAUGCGGAUUGAGGAGGAAGACGACACGGACGAGGAAGACGAUAACGAUAAUGAGGAUGCCCGGGCUCUUGUGACCGGAGCCAGGUUCUCAUGUAAUGAUCUCGAAUGCAGCAGCUUUGAAGAAUCAGGGGAUGAAUUAGAUAGCGGUAGUACAUCAUACCACCUGAUGGAGAAAAGGAGCCUAGAGAAAAGCAUUCUGCUUGAGCUGGAACGCGAUCAUCAUCUCAAAAUUCAAGAGGAAGUUAGAAGUAAGUUAUCUUCGUUGGAGGUAUGCCACCAAAAUGAAAUCCAGAGAACAAUCUCUGCAUUUGCUCGACUUCAGAAAUAUGCAGAAUCACGAAAAGAGAUAGAUAGAAGGCUAGAUGUCCAAUUCCAGAGAAAAAUUGCAGAAGUACUCGAUAAACACUUAUCUAUGGUCCAAAGGGAUCAUGAACAGAAAUCCCAGAUUGUGGAACGUAGAAUAAGAGAUGAUGCAGCUGUUGAAGAAGCUAAACGAAGGGAGCAAUCUAUGAAGGAAGAAAAAAUAAAACAGGAAAGGGCCAGACAAGAAGCAGAGGCCAGGCAGAAGGCAACUGCAAAAUUAGCAGCUGACGCACAGAAAGCAGCAUAUGAAGCUGCUCAAAAGGAAGCUGUAGAAAAGGAAGCUGCUAAAUCGAGGGCAGAAGCAGUUUCCACAUCUAGCCAAAUUUCUCAGAAAAGUGUCGCCCAUGCAACAAUAAUGGCAAUCAGUACUGAAAUCAAAUCAGAAUUACCAGGAAUAAAAAUCUAUGCUGAUAGUUCUGCAUUAGAAGCGGAAUCACGGAGGCUUGCAUUACAUGACCAAGUGCCAUCAAACAUUUACCUCAGCAAGGAGUAUAGCCGAUAUGACCGACAAAUUGGAAAGUCUAUCAGUAAACUUAUGCCAACUACCGACAGUGUCAAGGCCAGGGCUAGUGAGCUUAUUAAAGCUUUAGAUGGACAGGAUUGUCCUCGUCCAAUCGCUUGUCGUUUAUUUGCAGACAAGAUGAUUUCAAUAGUCAAGAGUCGGAAUCCGACGGACAAAACCUUUGGAAAAUUGGCCUUUGCUUGUGGAUAUGUCAUGCUACUAGUUACCAAUCAGGUACCAGAUGCAAUGGAUUAUCUUCUGGCUGAGUUCAACAAAGUUUGCAUGUACACAGUUCCAAAGCAUCUCCAUGCUUUAAAUGCACAAGCACGAAACACAGAUUACUUCAGGCUUAUUGGCUACCAGGAAGAAGAUGGAAAACUUCAGAGCACUGAGAAGUAUUUGGUAAAUGUUGUUGCAUACGUCAAACUCUAUGCUGCCAUGAUUCAGACAGAAAUCAAAGGUGUGCGGCAUCCACAUGGCUUAGCCGAGGGAUGGAAAUGGCUUGCAAUGUUCCUCAAUACUAUCCCGGCGAUCCCUGCCACUGCUUUUGCUCUUCAUGCUUUCCUCAAGGUCGCUGGUUUUGCGCUUCACAAGAAAUAUGGAUCACAGUUCAUGAAAAUUCUAGAUGUAAUAUCGCGGCACUUCAUACCAGCUUUGAAAGCACAAGGUUCGAAAGUUCAGCCAGAGGCUAUCAAUAAUCUACAGAAUUAUCUGAAUGACAAAAUUUAUCUGGAGGAGCCAGAAGGGCAGUACCUUGCCCAGCAGCUGCUAUCGAAAAUGUUCUUGUGA
rnacentral:rRNA from 1 species